rnacentral:rRNA from 1 species
GAUGAACGCUGGCGGCGUGCCUAAUACAUGCAAGUCGAACGAAACUUCUUUAUCACCGAGUGCUUGCACUCACCGAUAAAGAGUUGAGUGGCGAACGGGUGAGUAACACGUGGGCAACCUGCCCAAAAGAGGGGGAUAACACUUGGAAACAGGUGCUAAUACCGCAUAACCAUAGUUACCGCAUGGUAACUAUGUAAAAGGUGGCUAUACUACCGCUUUUGGAUGGGCCCGCGGCGCAUUAGCUAGUUGGUAGGGUAAAGGCUUACCAAGGCAAUGAUGCGUAGCCGAAGUGAGAGGUUGAUAGGCCACAUUGGGACUGAGCCACGGCCAAAACUCCUGCGGGAGGCAGCAGUAGGGAAUCUUCCACAAUGGGCGAAAGCCUGAUGGAGCAACGCCGCGUGGGUGAAGAAGGUCUUCGGAUCGUAAAACCCUGUUGUUAGAGAAGAAAGUGCGUGAGAGUAACUGUUCACGUUUCGACGGUAUCUAACCAGAAAGCCACGGCUAACUACGUG